CAGGCCUAACACAUGCAAGUCGAGGGGUAACAGGAGGUGCUUGCACUUUGCUGACGACCGGCGCACGGGUGCGUAACGCGUAUGCAACCUACCUUCUACAGGGGGAUAGCCCAGAGAAAUUUGGAAUAAUACCCCAUACGAUCAUCGAUUGGCAUCGAUUGAUGAAGAAAACUUCGGUGGUAGAAGAUGGGCAUGCGUCCUAUUAGUUAGUUGGUGAGGUAACGGCUCACCAAGACGUCGAUAGGUAGGGGCCCUGAGAGGGGGAUCCCCCACACUGGUACUGAGACACGGACCAGACUCCUACGGGAGGCAGCAGUGAGGAAUAUUGGACAAUGGGCGAGAGCCUGAUCCAGCCAUGCCGCGUGCAGGAAGACUGCCCUAUGGGUUGUAAACUGCUUUUAUACAGGAAGAAACUGUGCUACGUGUAGCACCCUGACGGUACUGUAAGAAUAAGGAUCGGCUAACUCCGUGCCAGCAGCCGCGGUAAUACGGAGGAUCCAAGCGUUAUCCGGAAUCAUUGGGUUUAAAGGGUCCGUAGGUGGUUCAUUAAGUCAGAGGUGAAAGCCUGCCGCUUAACGGUAGAACUGCCUUUGAUACUGACGGACUUGAGUCAUUGUGAAGUAGUUAGAAUAUGUAGUGUAGCGGUGAA
rnacentral:rRNA from 1 species